rnacentral:rRNA from 1 species
CCUACGGGCGGCAGCAGUGGGGAAUAUUGGACAAUGGGGGGAACCCUGAUCCAGCCAUGCCGCGUGUGUGAAGAAGGCCCUCGGGUUGUAAAGCACUUUCAGUGAGGAAGAACGCCUGGUGGUUAAUACCCAUCAGGAAAGACAUCACUCACAGAAGAAGCACCGGCUAACUCCGUGCCAGCAGCCGCGGUAAUACGGAGGGGGCGAGCGUUAAUCGGAAUUACUGGGCGUAAAGCGCGCGUAGGUGGCUUGAUAAGCCGGUUGUGAAAGCCCCGGGCUCAACCUGGGAACGGCAUCCGGAACUGUCAAGCUAGAGUGCAGGAGAGGAAGGUAGAAUUCCCGGUGUAGCGGUGAAAUGCGUAGAGAUCGGGAGGAAUACCAGUGGCGAAGGCGGCCUUCUGGACUGAAACUGACACUGAGGUGCGAAAGCGUGGGUAGCAAACAGGAUUAGAUACCCGGGUAGUC